rnacentral:lncRNA from 1 species
CAUUUCUAUUGAGGCAGAGUACUGACUUGAGCAUCAGAGGGUCUUACCGGAGCACCCCCAACUCCGGUUUAGACUUCCCUUGCAGGUUCCGACGGCGGACGUGACCCCUCGACUCCAGCUUCUCCGACGUCGGUGGAAUUCUGCACCAAUAGAAUUGACGCUAGAGGAAGGGUCUGUGUCUUCGCAGUACCCUUAUUCUUAAAGAAGUGCUCAACGGGACCGUCUCCAGUCAUCCUCUCCGACCUCUCCUUCUCCUGCCAGAUCUCCACCUGAUGCCUCCCCGAAAGGCAUCCACCAGGCGAUCCACGGCCUCUGUGGCC